GACAGAGGGUGCAAACGUUGCUCGGAAUCACUGGGCUUAAAGGGCGCGUAGGCGGGCUGUCAAGUCUGGGGUGAAAUCCCACGGCUCAACCGUGGAACUGCCUCAGAUACUGACGGCCUCGAGGGAGAUAGGGGCGAGCGGAACUGUGAGUGGAGCGGUGAAAUGCGUUGAUAUUCACAGGAACUCCGGUGGCGAAGGCGGCUCGCUGGAUCUCUUCUGACGCUGAGGCGCGAAAGCCAGGGGAGCAAACGGG
rnacentral:rRNA from 1 species